rnacentral:rRNA from 1 species
GAUGAACGCUAGCGGAGGCUUAACACAUGCAAGUCGAGGGGCAGCAUAGGGUAGCAAUACUCUGAUGGCGACCGGCAAACGGGUGAGUAACGCGUAUGUAACCUACCCUGUACAGGGGGAUAACCCGGAGAAAUUCGGACUAAUAUCCCAUAACAAUAUCCGGGGGCAUCUUUGGAUAUUUAAAGUUCCGGCGGUACGGGAUGGGCAUGCGUAACAUUAGCUAGUUGGUAAGGUAACGGCUUACCAAGGCUUUGAUGUUUAGGGGUCCUGAGAGGGUGGUCCCCCACACUGGUACUGAGACACGGACCAGACUCCUACGGGAGGCAGCAGUGAGGAAUAUUGGUCAAUGGGCGCAAGCCUGAACCAGCCAUCCCGCGUGCAGGAAGACGGCGCUAUGCGUUGUAAACUGCUUUUCCAGGGAGAGAAACUUGCGCACGUGUUGCGCAAUUGACGGUACCCUGGGAAUAAGUAUCGGCUAACUCCGUG